rnacentral:misc_RNA from 1 species
UUAAGUCAGCGGGUAUCCCUACCUGAUCCGAGGUCAACCUGAAAUGGAAUUGGGUUGAUGCAAGUAACCACCUGGAUCUCCAAAGCGAGAGAAUUACUACGCUUGAAGCCAAAUGGCACCGCCACUGAUUUUAAGACCUGCCAGAAACUGGCAAUGUCCAAUACCAAGCAAAGCUUGAGGGUUGUAAUGACGCUCGAACA